GGGGAAUCUUGCACAAUGGGGGAAACCCUGAUGCAGCGACGCCGCGUGAGCGAUGAAGCCCUUCGGGGUGUAAAGCUCUUUCGGCAGGGAMGAUAAUGACGGUACCUGCAGAAGCAGCUGCGGCUAACUACGUGCCAGCAGCCGCGGUAAUACGUAGGCAGCGAGCGUUGUUCGGAGUUACUGGGCGUAAAGGGUGUGUAGGCGGUUUUCUAAGUUUGGUGUGAAAUCUCCCGGCUCAACCGGGAGGGUGCGCCGAAAACUGGGRGACUAGAGUGCGGGAKGGGAGAGURGAAUUCCUGGUGUAGCGGUGAAAUGCGUAGAUAUCAGGAGGAAYACCGGUGGUGUAGACGGCUCUCUGGACCGYMACUGACGCUGAGACACGAAAGCGUGGGUAGCAAACAGGAUUAGAUACCCUGGUAGUCCACGCCCUAAACGAUGCAUAUUUGGUGUAGGUCAUUCAGUUGAUCUGUGCCGGAGCUAACGCGUUAAAUAUGCCGCCUGGGGAGUAC
rnacentral:rRNA from 1 species